rnacentral:rRNA from 1 species
UAGUCCACACCGUAAACGAUGAGAGCUAGUUGUCUGCAAGCAUGCUUGUAGGUGACGCAGCUAACGCAUUAAGCUCUCCGCCUGGGGAGUACGGUCGCAAGAUUAAAACUCAAAGAAAUUGACGGGGGCCCGCACAAGCGGUGGAGCAUGUGGUUUAAUUCGAAGCAACGCGCAGAACCUUACCUACCCUUGACAUGCCGGUCGCGAUUUCCAGAGAUGGAUUUCUUCAAUUCGGUUGGACCGUGCACAGGUGCUGCAUGGCCGUCGUCAGCUCGUGUCGUGAGAUGUUGGGUUAAGUCCCGCAACGAGCGCAACCCUCACUUUUAGUUGCCAGCAUUUAGUUGGGCACUCUAGAAGAACUGCCGGUGCUAAGCCGGAGGAAGUGGGGAUGACGUCAGGUCCUCAUGGCCCUUACGGGUAGGGCUACACACGUGCUACAAUGGCGCUGACAGAGGUAAUUACUAAACCGUAAAGUCGUCUACGUACGGUACGUAGUUCGUCCUCGUCGA